GUGUCUGUUACCAAACUGCAGUCACUGGGUUUCUUUGCUGGUGGCCACUGCAGAAUGGGCUCAUGUAGAGGUGUUGACUCACUUCCAGUUACUGCACUGCUCUGGGCAACAAAAAAAGUUUCCUUGAGUUGCUCCAUGUGAGUAACUGCUGCAGCUGCCACUGUUUCUAUCAGUAAUUGCUGGGGGGAAGAGCACAGUUGUCCUUAGCAAAGAGGGGGUGGAUAUGUGCUACAGGUGAUGGCCAAACACUCUCUGCUGAGUGUGAGAAAAUAUAGCUUGAAAAUACUACUAACCAAGCACAUGGUGGGGAGAAUGUACCACUGUUCAAUGUGUUUUCCCAAAAACUACCAAAGCAUCGAUUCCCUUUUAACUCUGUAGUGCUCUGCCCUCAAAGGUAAUGCUUUGGAAACUCCUGGGAUAAAGGAAAUUGGCCUGUUGCAUUGGUCAGAAAAUUCUCUUCCAGACUGAGGAGUGUUUUUAUACAGUGAAUAUAAAAAAAUCCUCAUUCUGGGUGUUAAUUGGGUAUGGGAACUGCUUUCUUCUGUAGCUGUGGGGUGGUACAAGCUGCCUCAACUCUGUAGCUUUUCAGGGAAGGAAAUCCAGCAGACUUUCCCUGGUAGAAUAGAUUUGAUGUGAGCUGGAUGCUGCAUUGAGGUCCGCCCCCAGUGUGUAAAGGCAGUGAGUAAGGAAGUACCAGAGCAGUCAGCUGAACCAUGAAUAAUGUCCUGCUCUGGAGCUAAAGUUGAGUAAAACCUAAACUGUUCCAGCCUAAGGGACUGCAGGAGUCCUUUCUCUAGAAACAGCACAGAGGGAAGGACAAUUUCUUUGCAUGUCAGCUGUAUGCUUGAGUUCUGGACCUGGACCAGUGGGAUGAGCAGAUGGAAGUGCUGGAUGAUGAGGCAAUACUGUGUGG